AUUGAACGCUGGCGGCAUGCUUUACACAUGCAAGUCGAACGGCAGCGGGGGCUUCGGCCCGCCGGCGAGUGGCGAACGGGUGAGUAAUGCAUCGGAACGUGCCCAGUCGUGGGGGAUAACACAUCGAAAGAUGUGCUAAUACCGCAUACGUCCUGAGGGAGAAAGCGGGGGAUCUUCGGACCUCGCGCGAUUGGAGCGGCCGAUGUCGGAUUAGCUAGUUGGUGGGGUAAAAGCCCACCAAGGCAACGAUGGAUAGGGGAACUGAGAGGUUUAUCCCCCACACUGGUACUGAGACACGGACCAGACUCCUACGGGAGGCAGCAGUGAGGAAUAUUGGUCAAUGGACGCAAGUCUGAACCAGCCACGUCGCGUGAAGGAAGACGGCCCUACGGGUUGUAAACUUCUUUUAUACGGGAAUAAAGUGCCCCACGCGUGGGGUUUUGUCAUGUACCGUAUGAAUAAGG
rnacentral:rRNA from 1 species